AGGAUAAACGCUGGCGGCGUGCCUAAUCAAUGCGAGUCGAACGGGCCCUUCGGGGUCAGUGGCGUCCGGGUGAGUAACGCGUAGCCAACCUACCCAAUGGUGGGGGAUACCCGUCAGAAAUGAUGGUUAAUACCGCAUAGCUUGACAGCCCGGGAGGGGUGGCAAGAAAGCAGCAAUGCGCCAAUGGAGGGGGCUGCGUCUGAUUAGCUGGUCGGUGGGGUAACGGCCUACCGAGGCGACGAUCAGUAGC
rnacentral:rRNA from 1 species